rnacentral:ncRNA from 1 species
AUAACUGGCUUGUGGCAGGCAAGCGUUCAAAGGGAUGCUGCUUUUUUGAACAACACAGAAUUCACUAAGCAUUAGAUUGUUCACCCAUUAAUAGGGAACACGAUCUGCAUUUAGACUGUUGUGAGACAAGUU